CGGACGGGUGAGUAACGCGUGGGUAACCUGCCUCAUACAGGGGGAGUAACAGUUAGAAAUGACUGCUAAUACCGCAUAAGCGCACAGUGCUGCAUGGCACAGUGUGAAAAACUCCGGUGGUAUGAGAUGGACCCGCGUCUGAUUAGCUAGUUGGCGGGGUAACGGCCCACCAAGCCUUCGAUGGAUAGGGGUUCUGAGAGGAAGGUCCCCCACAUUGGAACUGAGACACGGUCCAAACUCCUACGGGAGGCAGCAUG
rnacentral:rRNA from 1 species